CAGGCUCAAGGCUGCCCCUGCGUGGACAUCACGUGCACCUGUGACACCACUCAGGUCCUUGUCUUUCUAUAGAUUGCCUUUUUUAUUCUGCGCUUCAAAUUUCUCUCACUGCGCUGGUUUCUUACAUUUAAUGUCACAUCAUAAUUUUAUGACUUACGCGCAAUAAAUCUGCGUCUUUUGUGCCACAUUACUACACAGUGUCACGUGUUUGGUCACCUCUCUGACACUAACAGGUAGUUUGUAAAAAAUGAAAGAAUCAGAUGCUCCAAAAUGCACAAUUGAUCUGAUUUGUUUUUUAAUUGCCUGCCAAUAAGCGGGGGAAAAGAAUUUAGUGUGAGUAAAUGUCUCGCUUCCCUGCUAAAAGAAACUGCUUGUAAAUGAGUCAAUUGGAAGGAUCGAUUGGAUUAUCAUUUCGUUUCCAGCUCAUAUCCACGCUUCAGUUCAGCCGCGAACACAUCCUAUUGAUCAGGCACGAUGGAAGAGGAGGCUGCCAGAGAUGAGAGCCGAUAAUGAAGGGCGUAUUUGUUUGGGUUAAAACCUUAAUCAGUUUGCAGCAGUGGAUGAACCCUAAAUCCAAAGUGCCAUAAAUCAUAUUACAAACACUUUCACUCUUAUUAUCCGAACAUGAUCUAGUUUGGAUUUCCUUUUACGCAAUUCAGAGUAUGGUUUGGUUAAUUUUUGGGCCACAUUUUGGCCAGAAGUCUGACUUUAAAAAAAGACAGAAAAACAGAAACACAGAGAGAAAGAAAUAAUAAUUUUAAAGAUUGUUAACAAUUUCCUGCAGCAUCAAGAUCCAGAAUGAUUUAUGAGUAACACUUACCUGUCUGUCAUUUUGUACUGAUAAUUAUUUAAGAUCAGAACUAAGUUAAUUUUUCCCCGUAUUGUUUUACGCACUAACAUAAUUAUUUUGGCACAAAAGCACGUCAGGGUCAUUUACUAGAAUUUUAGGGUAUUUUAAGAUCACUCUUUCAGCUACUAAAAUCCUUUCACUUCUGAAGUUUAGCGGGUUAGUCCCUGAGACAGCUGCAUGCUGAUUCAUCCUAACUUUUUUCCUAAUUCACUGUCAAAAGGUGCAGGUAGCGUUCAAGUUACAGCUCUCUUUUUAUUCUCUACAACUGCAGGCAAGCUUCUCUAUUUCUCGGCUCCAACUUUGAAAGCGCCCCGAGCGAGUCGUGCCGUGCUGUGCCGUGUCGUGCCGCGUCGAGCUGCUCUAAAAACUCUCCCUGCGAGGCCGACCCGACGGCAGCCCCAUUAGGUCGUAAUGCUCUCUAAUAUAGCCCGAGUCCAGCGUCUAAUAGAUCGCGGCAGGCCUGCCGGCGGCUCUCCCCCCUCGGUCAUAACGCGCUGUAAUGGAGAGACGAGAUGUAAAAAAGCGUCCAUGUCAGCAGCAUAUCGCUGGUUAAUGAUCUAUUAAGUGAUCCGUGUGCUUAUGGACAGCGAAAAAAAGUGUUGAUGCUUGCUUAUUCGUCCUUAAUGAGAGUCCCAUCCUACGGAUUUUAGGAAUGAAUAACAGAAAUAAAAUCACCUUUAAAAUGUUACAUUUAACAGUUGACGCAUGGAGGCUGCAGCGGCUGCACAGCUCCCCACAGCUCACAUCUCACACCUGCAGCAGGCCCGAUGCUUUCACACAGGGGGCCCAUGGAUGAUCACAGGAAGAGACAUGAUUCCUCUAACAAAUAUGGAUUUCUAUUCUGCUCCAGGACCGCAGAUACAUGCACCUACUGUCCAGAGGCCGGGCUGCACGCACUUGGAAGCGCUUGGAUCUGCGUGAACUAAGACUACUUUCUGUAUGGGAGGAUGUGCUCACUACAAGGAUUAUUUUUCACAGCCAAAACCAGACCGUGUCCCGCUCUGAGGCAAACAGUUGGUUUUAUUUGCUGAUCUUAUGG